ACGAACGCUGGCGGCGUGCUUCACACAUGCAAGUCGAACGGAAAGGCCCUGCUUUUGUGGGGUGCUCGAGUGGCGAACGGGUGAGUAACACGUGAGUAACCUGCCCUUGACUUUGGGAUAACUUCAGGAAACUGGGGCUAAUACCGGAUAGGAGCUCCUGCUGCAUGGUGGGGGUUGGAAAGUUUCGGCGGUUGGGGAUGGACUCGCGGCUUAUCAGCUUGUUGGUGGGGUAGUGGCUUACCAAGGCUUUGACGGGUAGCCGGCCUGAGAGGGUGACCGGCCACAUUGGGACUGAGAUACGGCCCAGACUCCUACGGGAGGCAGCAGUGGGGAAUAUUGCACAAUGGGCGGAAGCCUGAUGCAGCAACGCCGCGUGCGGGAUGACGGCCUUCGGGUUGUAAACCGCUUUCGCCUGUGACGAAGCGUGAGUGACGGUAAUGGGGAAAGAAGCACCGGCUAACUACGU
rnacentral:rRNA from 1 species